AUUGAACGCUGGCGGCAGGCCUAACACAUGCGAGUCGAGCGGUAACAGGGGUAGCUUGCUACCCGCUGACGAGCGGCGGACGGGUGAGUAAUGCAUAGGAAUCUGCCCGAUAGUGGGGGAUAACCUGGGGAAACCCAGGCUAAUACCGCAUACGUCCUACGGGAGAAAGGGGGCUCCGGCUCCCGCUAUCGGAUGAGCCUAUGUCGGAUUAGCUGGUUGGUGAGGUAACGGCUCACCAAGGCGACGAUCCGUAGCUGGUCUGAGAGGAUGAUCAGCCACAUCGGGACUGAGACACGGCCCGAACUCCUACGGGAGGCAGCAGUGGGGAAUAUUGGACAAUGGGGGGAACCCUGAUCCAGCCAUGCCGCGUGUGUGAAGAAGGCCCUCGGGUUGUAAAGCACUUUCAGUGAGGAAGAACGCCUGGUGGUUAAUACCCAUCAGGAAAGACAUCACUCACAGAAGAAGCACCGGCUAACUCCGUGCCAGCAGCCGCGGUAAUACGGAGGGUGCGAGCGUUAAUCGGAAUUACUGGGCGUAAAGCGCGCGUAGGUGGCUUGAUAAGCCGGUUGUGAAAGCCCCGGGCUCAACCUGGGAACGGCAUCCGGAACUGUCAAGCUAGAGUGCAGGAGAGGAAGGUAGAAUUCCCGGUGUAGCGGUGAAAUGCGUAGAGAUCGGGAGGAAUACCAGUGGCGAAGGCGGCCUUCUGGACUGACACUGACACUGAGGUGCGAAAGCGUGGGUAGCAAACAGG
rnacentral:rRNA from 1 species